rnacentral:rRNA from 1 species
UCAGAACGUACGCUGGCGGCACGCCUAACACAUGCAAGUCGAACGAAGUAGCAAUACUUAGUGGCAAACUGGUGAGUAAUAUGUGGGAAUCUACCCUUCGGUCUGGAAUAACAUGAGGAAACUUAUGCUAAUACUGGAUAACCCUUUACAGGAAAAGCUUUAUGCGCCGAUUGAUGAGUCCACACUUGAUUAGUUAGUUGGUGAGGUAAUGGCUCACCAAGACAAUGAUCAAUAGCUGAUUUGAGAGGAUGAUCAGCCACAUUGGGACUGAGACACGGCCCAAACUCCUACUUUUUUUAGCAGUGGGGAAUCUUGCACAAUGGGGGAAACCCUGAUGCAGCGAUGCCGCGUGAGUGAAGAAGGCCCUUGGGUUGUAAAGCUCUUUCGUCGGGGAAGAAAAUGACUGUACCCGAAUAAGAAGGUCCGGCUAACUUCGUG